CUACGGGAUGCAGCAGUGGGGAAUAUUGCACAAUGGAGGAAACUCUGAUGCAGCAACGCCGCGUGGAGGAUGACACUUUUCGGAGCGUAAACUCCUUUUAUAUAGGAAGAAGAUGACGGUACUAUAUGAAUAAGCGCCGGCUAACUCCGUGCCAGCAGCCGCGGUAAUACGGAGGGCGCAAGCGUUACUCGGAAUCACUGGGCGUAAAGAGCGUGUAGGCGGAUUAAAAAGUCAGAAGUGAAAUCCUAUAGCUUAACUAUAGAACUGCUUCUGAAACUCUAAAUCUAGAAUAUGGGAGAGGUAGAUGGAAUUUCUGGUGUAGGGGUAAAAUCCGUAGAGAUCAGAAGGAAUACCGAUUGCGAAGGCGAUCUACUAGAACAUUACUGACGCUGAGACGCGAAAGCGUGGGGAGCAAACAGGAUUAGAUACCCGCGUAGUC
rnacentral:rRNA from 1 species